UAGAAGUCAGUAGUAGAAAGGAUGAAGGAAGUUUGUCUUUUAAACAACCAGUCUGAAAUAUGCAAGGCAUUUUCAUUUUUCUUCACCUGAGUUGUUUAUUUCUGAGUUUAUCCAUUUUUUCCAUGUUGGCAGAUUUAUAUAAAACAACAGUAAUAAUAUUUCUGGUGGUCUCAGAAACUAAGAUAGGAGAAACUAAGAAAAAACUCAGAAACUAAGGAGGAGAAGCAGUGCCUACACAAAAUUAAGGUUUUUGUGUAAAUUGUGAAAUAAUGUGUUAAUGAUUUUGGCAACAUAUAAGAGCAACAACAAAAAAAAGAUAAAAACUUCAGUUUUGGCCUCCUGUCACUCUUCCCAAACUUCAAACUUCUAUAGAAGUAAGAAUGCCCUGACAGAAGUAUGCCUCAAGCCAGGAUACAGUUUUGGGGAGAUGAGAAAACUGAAGGAAGUCCCUCUCCCAUAUUCGGCAUGGGACAAAGGAAUACAAAGAACACUUAGAAGGUACAAAAGGACAACAAAAAAAGAGGAGGACAGAAGCUUGGCUCUUCCUUCAUUAGAGUUAUCAGAACAAGUUCUGUGCCAGCAGAAGACUUUGACCUCAUCCUGUUAACGCUUUAUCCUGGUACUUCCAAACCUGAGACCACAGGGUCUCUUCCAUCUGUGCUUUUAUUCAGGGUUUGCAAGGAAGAUGUCUACUGCUUGAUCUGCAGUGGUGACCACAGGUGUCAUCCAUGACUGCCAAUGCCAACUGAAUGAAAGAACAGAUAAAUGUUAUCUCCCAGUAGUUGCAAGUUUGACUUGACUGUUGUGCAGUUGGGCCUGUCUUGGCCUGAGAGUGUCAGAUCUGCCUGGCCCAUGACUGGCUUUAAUACUCACACAGGGGUGACAGCUCCAGCCCUGGGCUGACCAAAGCUCUGGGAGGGGUCUGAAGAGGGCAGGAGCUGCAGCAGUCCUGGACAGCACCAGAACCAGUCCUUUGUGCAGCCGAGGCUGGGCUUGUUUCCGAUUCCAUGAGGCUUCAGCCAGAGAGCUGGAAAAUCUUUCACUGGUUUGGAUUGCCA